rnacentral:tRNA from 1 species
GUGACGGUAGUUCAGUCGGUAGAACUCCAGGUUGUGAUCCUGGUAGUCACGGGUUCGAAGCCCGUCCGUCACCCCA